UGCUCCAGGACUCACCUCCCAGACUGUGCAUUCAGACCGAGGAGGAGCAAGAGUCGUGACUCCAGGCAAGACAGGCUGCAUUUGCCCCAGGCUCCCCUCUGUCCGAGUUUUGGAAUAUAAACAUAGGAUUAAAGUAUGAUCUCUGCACCCAUUGGACAUCUUGGGUAAGUUUCAACUAGAAAAUAACUUGGAGCAAUAUGAAAAAGACAUACAUUUAUUCAUCACUUAAUGUGCCAGACACCUGGCUAGGUAUAAAAAUCAUCAUUUCAAAUUCAUCCUGUAAUUUUUUUAAGUGUAAGAAAACUAAAGUUCUAAUAAUUUACGUGACUUUCUCAAGGUCAUCCAAUAAGGAGGUGGCACCUGACUUCAUGACCAUAGUUUCAUAGUUUCACCUCCAUGGAUUUUAAGUUCAUGAUUUUUAACCUUUAAAUCUUAUUUUCUUUGCAGAAUGGGAAUGUUCCCAAGGUCACAGAGCCGAUAAUUGUCAGCUGGGUUUCUGGACAUAAUACAUCCCAAAGAAACAUUUAAUCUUCCUCUGUUGACUUUUUUUUUUUUCUUCCUCCAGUCUCUUCCUGCUCAAAACUUGGAGAUCCUCUUAAGGUCACCUCUCCUCUCUUCUAUGCAUAAAAAAAGACCUGGUAAUUCUACUUCCAGAAUAUAACUUCAACCUUUCGCUUCUCUCCAGUUCUGGGCUAACGACCACCACCAGCAGCCCAGGCAGCAUCCCUCAUCCUUUCUUUCUAAAGUCCUCCAACAGAGAUAGGGGAAUCUUCUGGAAUCCCAAUUAGGCCACAUUACCCCUUUCCUAAAACCUUUUAUUGACUUUUUUAUUCCCUUGGGAUUACCCCCCCAAUCAUUUUCCCAUCUUGUCCCACCCACUAUUCAUAGUUCCUGUCUUGCCAAAGUACAAAGAUCUCUGAUUUCAGGGGUUUUGUACAUGCUAUACCUUCAGGCGAGGGCAUUCUCCCUCCAAAUAUUUAACCAUUAAGCUUCAGAUACUUCUUUCCCGGCCCCUCCACUCCACUUAAACUGGGACCCCUCUUGCCCCCUGCUAUGGGCUGAAUUGUGGUUCCCCCCACCCCAGACUCAUAUGUUGAAUCAUAUGUUGAAGUCUUAAACCUCAAAGUGAUGAUGGUAUUUGGAAAGGGGCCUUUGGAAGGUCAUUAAGGUUAAACAAAGUAAUGAAGCUGGAGCCUUUAGAAUGAGGCUACUAUAGGAUCCUUCUAAGGGGAGGCCAGAGGAAUGUGUCUCUUUCUCCUUCUGGCAUAAGUCUAUGCCAGAGCCUGACCAACCACCAUUACCAUGUUGCUAACAAUGUUGGCAUUGUCUUGAUCUCAGAAUUACAGCACCCAGAAUUGUGAGGGGAAAAAAAAUUGUUCUUUGAAUCACUCAUUCCGUGGCAUUUGUCAUGACAGCUCAGCAAACUAAUGCAUAGUCUUUGUUUCCUGUGUUAGCUAAGAUACGAACUAAGUAGCAAGAACAAAGAGAUCCAAAGAUACAAUGGUUUCAAUAACAUGGAAGCUCCUUCCUCUGCCACAUGAUAAGCCAUUAGUCAACGAUUGUAUGGGAAGGUCUGCCGCCUUCAGUGCAAGGCUUCCAUCUUGGAGGACAAGGCUGCUCUUAUGGUUCUCAGCAUCUUCCAGCUUGCAGGAAGGCAUAAAGGACCAAGGGAAGGCACAAGCCUCCCCUGUGGAUGUAUACCAGAAGUGGCAUGAAUAAUUAUCUUUAUAUACCAUUGGCCAUAACUUUGUCACUUGGACAAACUGCAAGAAUUGUUGGGUGGGUUGUCAGGCUCCCAGCUGAAACUCAGGUAGUCCAUCAUUAAGAUGGACAGAAUAGACACAGGUGAAGAAGAAGCAGCCAUCAUGCUCCCUCAUCAAAAGACGCAUUUCAAGUAGUAAGCACAUACUCAUUUGUUCCACGCCUGCUCUCCUGUUGACUGUAAGUUUGACAAGGGAGAAACUAUACAUGUUUCAAUCACUGUGAUGCUCCCAUGCCAAGCACAGUUGCUAGAACUUAACAUGAAGAUUCCUAACUAUUGCCUGACUGCGUGAGCAAGCAAGUAUGUUCUUUACAUGUUAUACAAUCUGGUAAGCCCUACCUCCCUCUAAAUAUACUCCUCAGAGGACAGAACAUGUACUGUGUGGGGGGAGAUAUGUGUGUCUUCUUUCACCCCUGCCAAUUCCAACACUGCACGUAUUCUUCAAUGCCCAUAUCUUCCUUAAAAAUCUCAUCUGGGAGGAUGGGAAGGUAGCACAGUGGUACAGUGCUUGCCUAGCAUAUGGAAGGCCCUGGGUUCAAUCCCUAGUACUGAAAACAAAAAUCUCUGGGGCUAAGUAACACUACACUGAAAUUUUUUUCUUGGCCAGGUUUCUAUGUCAACCUAUGUCAACCUAUUUGUCACUACCAAUCAUUUCCUUUUGCUCUUAGAAUUUUGCCCUGUUUUCCCCCUUUUAAAUAAUAUUACUUCUAAACACCUAACCAAACAGGCUAGGUACUUUUGAGACAUGGUUUACCAUGCCUUCAUUAUUCCAUUGCAAUUAAACUUUACUCAUUGAUUCACCCUCUUCCUUCUUUUCAUUCAAGAGCUAUUGGAAUAUCUAUUUUAUGUUCUGUGCUAAUCAGCAAGAACACAAAACUAUAAGGCCAGGAGAGCUCAGAGUCUACUUGUGAGACAGAGCAGCCAAUAAGCAAUUCAAAUGCAAUGUAACGGGUGCUAUAACCAAGAUACGUUCAGAAAAUUAUGGGAACAUAAUUAUGGAGUACUUGGUUAUCUUUUUUUGAUCUAUGAUUAUCAUCAAAUCAUCUCAACUUUAAAGAUAAGGAUGUUGAGAAUCAGAGCUAAGGAAUUUGUUCAAGGUUAGACAACCAGGAAGUGAAAAGGCAAUUGACAAUUCAAUACUGAUAACAAUCUUUCCCCUCUGCAACGCCCUAAUCGAGUUCUAUUCUCCUUCAAUGCAAGUACUCUUAAGAUGGCAUCCAGUUCUGCUGCUUCUUCCCCAUGUCCACAAGCACCCAGCUCAGGCCAGGCCUCCACAACAUCCUUAACAUAAUGACCACUCAUGCUUUUAACCUCACUAGGAUCCUUGUACACACUACUAGAGGGAUACAGUGCAGAGAGGGAAUUCCUUUUUAUUCUGGUGUUUCCAUUAUGUGUUACUGCAAACUACUCCAAAACUCCACGGAUUAAAACAAUGAUGUAUUUACCUGUCAUUGCUCUGAGUGUUUGGCGAGCCCCAUUGGGUACCUCUUGCUCAGGAUUUUCUGCAGCUGCAGUCAGACGCUGGCAGUAACCAUCAGAUUACUGGUUCUAUUCUUGGGCUAAAAUGACUGGAAUAACUGGGAGCUGGUCAGAUAUGGCCACAUGUUGAGCUUGGACUACCUCCCAGCAUCAACUCUUGGGGGUAGCUGGGCUUCUCACAUGACAACAGGCUGCUUCCAGAACAAACUCAGUUUUCUUAUGUAUAAAAUGUUGAUCACAAUAGUCUCUCAUUGGGCUGGUGUGAGGAUUGAGUGAAAUCAAUUGUGUAAAGUGUCAUGAGCCAGGCGGGUGCUCAGUACAUUUCAGUUUCUUUUCCCAUCAUGUAUCAUGCUUACUCAGAAGCAGGAGAUAGAAUAGGGUUUCAUAAAAGUUUGUUAAAUGAAUGAAUGAGUGAAACUGUGCAAAUCAUGGAGUUCCAAAGCAAUCUUCUUUGGACACAUCAUGCAUUAUGCCUCUCUCAUAGGAAUGCAGAGCAUCUUCCAAUUGCUAAACACAGAACUCAGGACCUCCCACUUUCUGUUACCCCAUCCCCCCACACAUUCCCCAGGCAGAACUUUAAUAUAAAAUAGAUGCCCAUGAGUCCAUACACACAUAAAUAAAUGGUUAAAUGAAUAAACUAGUAAAGGGACAGAUUUCCUUGCUGAAUUCCAAAUAUAUGUAGAUAUUUUACCCUCUGGAGAGUGAGGCAUUUUAUGCUCCCCCCACCCACCCUUUCACAUAAGGCCACACAUAGUAACUUCUGUCCAAAGAGUACAGUAUGGAAGAUAGUUAAAAAAAAAAAAAAAAAAAGAGUAACUCUUCAGUAGAGAAACCUGACAAACAUGACUUAAAUCAGGCGAUCAAGGUGAAUAUCAACAGCCAUGUAAGUCAUGUUAACAAAAUUUCCCUUGAUGUAUGUGUUGAGAAUCAUAUUCCAGCUCUGUGAUCCCCCUUUCAAAACCUGUCAUCCCAAUAUAUUGAGAAAAAUAUCAUACAGAUCCUAGCUGAGGGAUGAGUAUUUGACCCCAAAACUGUCAAGGUUAUCCAAAACGAGGGAAGUCUGAGAAAAUGUCACAACCAGGAGGAGCCUACGGAGACAUGAUAGCUGAAUGUCACAUGGAUUCUGGAUGAGAUCCUGGCACAGGAAAAGGACGUUGGGUAAAAGCUGAGGAAAUCUGAACCAACUAUAGACUUUAGUGAAAAUAAUGUACAGAUGGCAUUGGUUCAUUUAUCAAGCAAACGCACCACACUAGUUUAAGAUUCUAAUAAUAGGAGAAAUUGGGUGCACAACACAUGGGAAAUUUCUAUGCUGUCUCCACGACUUUCUAUAAAGCUAAAAAGUACAUUUCUAUUGGAAGAAAAAAUUACACCUUGCUAAACACCGCCCUCCUAUCCACUGCACAGAAAAGACCACCAUCUUCUGGUGGGAGUCACAGGGACGGGGGCAGGGCAGGCUCAAGUCCUAGAGACAGAAGAGCUUCUGUCCCUGUGUGGAGCUGGGGGUUGGUAUCUACCAUUUAGAAUUGCAUAUCCAGGGCUGGGAUUGUGGCUCAGAGGUAGAGCACUCGCCUAGCAUGGGCAAGACCUGGGUUUGAUCCUCAGCACCACAUAAAAAUAAGGGCAUUUUGUUGUAUUCCAUCUACACCUAAAAAAUAAAUAUUAAAAAAAAAUUGCAUAUCCACACUAAUCCAACCUGUCUUCUGCCUGAAUGUUUUUGUUCAAGACACAACCGUCUCUCCAAUCUCUAAGAUCAAGACCUUAAAGUCAGCCCAUCUCUUUUUCCCCAUUUUCUAAGCCCAGUUGCUUCUAACUCAGAAUUUUGUCUCAAAUCUAGUAUCUGGCCUCAAUACCACUGUCUUGGUUCAGGUCCUUGGCAUCAGUCACACCAUUGCUUCUGUAAAGGUCUCCCUCCCAGCCCCCUCUCCAUUUCAGUCCUUCUGAGGCCACCAGAGUUAGCAUCACUAAAUAGGUGAAGGUGCUUAAUGGGUAAAUGUUCUUAAAAAUCACCCACUCGGAUAGAUUGCAAGCUUGCUUACACUGACAGAAGGCUCUUAUCCUGACCCCAGCUCACACUUCGUCUGCUUCUUACCCCCCUCUUCUGAUGCACCUCGUGCUGCAGUCCCGCCAGUUCACCUCUGCAUGUCCACAAUCAUGUCCUGUGUUCUUGAGACUCAUGCUUCUGCAUGAAGCUCCAACAGGAAUGGUCUGGUUAUCCUCUCUGGUCUCUUUGUUCCCUCACAAGAUGAGCCACUCACUCCACAAACCUCAUCUCAGAAGUUUCUAUUCUAGAAACUUCCUUUGACUCUCUCAGGCAGAAAUGGCCCAUUCCUAGCUAGUGUCAUUCAUGUUUGAUGAUGCUGAUUGCCACAAGAAGAGUAAUGUGUAAGGACCACAUAUGGCAUCCACACCAUCUUUGUCUAUGACACUCUUUCACAUGGUGGCCCAAUUACAGUAUGCAGGACACUCCUGUUCUGACUCAUGAUAACCCCUGGAGACCCCCUGCCCCCUGUGCACCACCACCACUGACCCCAUCAGAACCUACUUUCUCAGAUGACUAUAUCCCUGGGGGGUUAACUAAGGAGUGGCCAAGACAAUCUAAAGCAAGAAACAGCAGAGUUAGGAAAGAAUUGGUACUUUGCACAUUAGCCAGAGGCAGAAGCACAGAAGGCAGACCAACUGGUGAUUGUUCCUCUCCUUUUGUGUAAAAUACAUUUCCUGUGUCAUUGAUAUCUCCUGCUGACUCAGAUUGAAACAGCUGUAGCCAUCAAGGGCCAAGGGUAACCAUUUGCUUUUCCCAGUGACUACAGUGUCCCAUCUCUUUCUUGAUGACUAAGCAAAGGCUUAUGGGUUCCAAUAGAGAACAUCAGAGUGUCCCUGCCCAGUCCUCAAGCACAUAGGCUGGUGUCCACUGGAUUGACUGGCCUAUGAGCCUCUCAGAGCUCUUGGAGUCUAUGAACUGCUUCCCCAGAAUAGAUGGCUAUACCAUCAGGAACACAGAUCCAAAAAAAAAAAAAAAAUGAAUAAAUGACAGACCAGAUUACCAGAGGAAAUAAAAUAAAUAAACUUCCUCAAGUAAAUCAUACAGAACCCUAACAUGUUCACACAUAUUGCUUUUUAAAAUUGUGCCCCUGAUCACAGAAUGCCAAAUGAACAUCAAAGCCUAUCUACAUUCAUUCACAGAUUAUUUUUCCAAAGUUCUUUUUUGAAAGAAUAUAUUUUAUCACAAUAAGGUUAUUUCUUUACUUCUGCAAAAUCUGUCUAGUCAUACAAAUUAUAAAGCUCCUGAAUUUUUUCUCCUAGUUUUGUGUUUGUUUCUACGAAACACAUAAGGACAAUGAUGAAGAUGAAGAGAGAGGGAGACUGGCACCAAAUUGUUACACCAGUGCUUGCAAUUGGGCUCUACCAUACUGGGGCUUCACCCCCAUAAGACUGGAACCAAACCUGUUUUCCAUGAUCCUGACAAUACCAAAUGUGG
rnacentral:lncRNA from 1 species